CCCUCAUUUCGACUCUGCCUCCCUCAUCUCUCUCAACUCAGAGCGACACAGCCGCUCUUCUCUCUCGACUCACAGCCGACCGAAGAUGCCGAUUAAGGACGCCGACGCCGACUAACGCCAACCGAGGACGUCUUCUUAUCUCAUCUCCAGAUGGAAUCGGGAAGUGGAGCAUUGCAAACUCCCAAUGCGACACCAACUAGGUCAAGUAAACUGCCUUUAACUUUGGUCUGUAAUAACUUUAAAUUGAUGUUUGGUACUUUGAACUUGAUGUUUGGGACUUUAACUUUGGUUUGUAAUCUUUUAAUUUAUGGUUGGUACUCUUUGAACUUGAUGUUUGGGACUUUGGAACUUUGAUUUAUUGAUUUGGUUUAGAAACUUGCUGCUUGGAACUUUGAUUUA